AGUGGCGGACGGGUGAGUAACGCGUGGGUAACCUGCCCUGUACAGGGGGACAACAGUUAGAAAUGACUGCUAAUACCGCAUAAGCGCACAGGACCGCAUGGUCCGGUGUGAAAAACUCCGGUGGUACAGGAUGGACCUGCGUCUGAUUAGGUAGUUGGCGGGGUAACGGCCCACCAAGCCGACGAUCAGUAGCCGACCUGAGAGGGUGACCGGCCACAUUGGGACUGAGACACGGCCCAAACUCCUACGGAAGGCAGCAG
rnacentral:rRNA from 1 species